rnacentral:misc_RNA from 1 species
AACCUGCAAAAGCAGUAUGACCCGCGAACAUGUGAAAAAUAACCCGGGGUGCCUCGUGUACCCCACUGCCUGGGCGCUCGCUCCUAGCGGGUGCGCUCCGGGCGCAACAACAACCCCCGGCGCGAAUUGCGCCAAGGAAAACCAAUGACUAUAACUUCCCAUGCUGCCCCGUUCUACGAGUGUGUGCUUGGGCAAUUGCUUCUCUUACAAAACACGACUCUCGGCAACGGAUAUCUCGGCUCUCGCAUCAAUGAAGAACGUAGCGAAAUGCGAUACUUGGUGUGAAUUGCAUAAUCUCGUGAACCAUCGAGUCUUUGAACGCAAGUUGCGCCCAAAGCCAUUAAGCCGAAGGCACGUCUGCCUGGGCGUCUCGCAACGCGUCGCCCCCAACCCCCUGUCCUCCGUACAUCAGGGUGCGUUGUGGGAGGAUGAUGGUCUCCCGUGUGCAACAGCUUGCGGUUGGCCUAAAAGUGAAGUCUCCGACGAUGGAUAGUCACGACACGUGGUGGUUGAACAACCUUGUCAUUACCUGUCGUUAGCGAACCCGUUGUCGGGCGUCUCCAAGACCCUAAAGCGCAUUACCAAUGCGCAUCGACUGCGACCCCAGGUCA